GACGAACGCUGGCGGCGUGCUUAACACAUGCAAGUCGAGCGGUAAGGCCCUUUCGGGGGUACACGAGCGGCGAACGGGUGAGUAACACGUGGGUGACCUGCCCUUAGCUCUGGGAUAAGCCUGGGAAACUGGGUCUAAUACCGGAUAUGACUCCAUGACGCAUGUUGUGGGGUGGAAAGCCUUGUGCGGCUAGGGAUGGGCCCGCGGCCUAUCAGCUUGUUGGUGGGGUGAUGGCCACCAAGGCGACGACGGGUAGCCGGCCUGAGAGGGCGACCGGCCACACUGGGACUGAGACACGGUCCGGACUCCUACGGGAGGCAGCAGUGGGGAAUCUUGCGCAAUGGGCGAAAGCCUGACGCAGCAACGCCGCGUGGAGGAUGAAGGCCCUUGGGUUGUAAACUCCUGUCGGCUGGGAAGAAGUUGUUCGCGACUAAUACUCGCGG
rnacentral:rRNA from 1 species